rnacentral:lncRNA from 1 species
CGCCGAGCGCCGGUGGCCAAAUUCUCCAUCUCGGGCGCAGCCCUAGCCACGCUGCUGCACUGCUGCGCAGCCAUAGCCGGCCACUGCGCCAGCCUCCUCUUCGGUCGUGCGCCUGCUCCUACGCUCUCCAUCUCCGUCUCCGGCCCCUCCUUCUCUCCCUCUCUGCCCUGGUGCUACUUCUUCCCACUGAGCACGGUGCCUCUCCCUCCUAGAUCCGGCGCCCGCAGGCGAGGAGGAGCUCAAAUCCGCACCCCGUUGAGUGUCACCCGCCUCCGUCCCCGUCGAACGCUACUCGUCUUCGUCCCCAUUGAGCCCACCACUACCAGCGAUUUCAUUUGCGUCGUCAUCCCAAGAGAAAAUUUUUUUGCGUGUCCAUUCGUCCGGUAGGCAAAAUAGGUUGUCUGUUUUUGUUCUCUAUUGGGAGGUGUUUUUGGAUAGGCAAAGCACUAUUGAGGACCUAUUUGGGGUAUAGGUUGUAUUGUUGGAGACAGUAUAAGGCCUUGUUUAGUCUAAAAAAAUUUGUAAAAUUUUUUAGAUUCUCCGUCACAUCGAAUCUUGCGGCACAUGCAUGAAGCAUUAAUAUAGAUAAAAAAUAACAAGUUACAUAGUUUAUCUGUAAUUUCUGAGACGAAUCUUUUGAGUCUAGUUAGUAUAUGAUUAGACAAUAUUUAUUAAAUACAAACAAAAAUACUACAAUAUCUAUUUUACUAAAAAAUUUGGAACUAAAUAAGGCCUAAGAGCAAUGCACCGCGAGUUUUGGCACAAGGAAAGUGGUAUAUAAACGUAGUUUCUGGCAAACGGCGAAAACUAAGGCCUUGUUUAGAUGCACCCAAAAACUCAAAAUUUUACAAGAUUCUCCAUCACAUCGAAUCUUGCGUCUCAUGCAUGGAGUAUUAAAUGUAGAUAAAAAUUAAAACUAAUUACACAGUUUGUCUGUAAAUUGCGAGACGAAUCUUUUAAACCUAGUUACUCCAUGAUUGGACAAUGUUUGUCAAAUAAAAACGAAAUUGCUACAGUGUGAAAAUCCAAAAAGUUUUUGCAUCUAAAUAAGCCCUAAAGGUGACUACUUCACCUAGUCAACUGAUUCAGACAAAUAUCAGAAUGUGACCUCGGCGCGCAAACAAACCAGCAGUACCUUGAAUAUUCAGAGGGCCGAUAAGCCUGGCAAAAAAAAAAAAAUACUGUAGCCACUUAGAUACUUGGACGGCAGCAGGCGCAUACAAAACAUUCCGGUUUGACGUAGAAAAAUAAAACUCAGGUGUCGUCUCCCAUCGAAUAUUUAAAUAUAUGUAUAAAAUAUUUAAUAUAAAGUAAAAAAAUAAAUAAUUAUAUAAAUUGUGAUUAUUUUGUAAGAUGAAUAUUUUAUAAACCAACCAAUAGACGAUGCUGGACACGGCGUUCUCUAGAGGUGUCUGUCGCCCGGUGAAGAUGGUCGGGAACUGCUCUCACGCGUCGCCGGCACGAGCGCCAUGGCCAGCGGUGCCAGCACCACCAUCACCAUUCACCGCGUACAUGCUCGCACGG